rnacentral:rRNA from 1 species
UACGUAGGGACCAAGCGUUGUCCGGAAUCAUUGGGCGUAAAGAGCGUGUAGGCGGCCUGUUAAGUCUUGCGUGAAAUCUCGGGGGCUCAACCCCGAGCGGUCGUGAGAAACUGGCAGGCUAGAGUGCGGGAGAGGAGAGUGGAAUUCCUGGUGUAGCGGUGAAAUGCGCAGAUAUCAGGAAGAACACCCGUGGCGAAGGCGGCUC